rnacentral:sRNA from 2 species
CCAUCUCCAUCUCCAUCUCCAUCUCCAUCCACCAUACCUCUCCACGUCCCCGAUCUCUUUCUUGUGUAUAUUUAUCGUUUUACCACCUUCUGAUGGGUUUAUGACUAUUUACGACAUAAGUGAUAGCUGUAUUUGUGGUUAACUUUGGUCCAUACGGGCCAUUCCCAAGGAUCCCCAGCCACCUUAUCUGCCAACCAAACUUCCUCCUCGGUUCGGGGUUUUGUAGCCCUAACUAAGAUCGAUCCUGCGCUAAAUGCUUCCCUGGUAAACAACAAACAACAACAACAACCACCUGCUGGAGGACAUAUAUAACCAUAUCUACCAUAUCUUCCGGAUCUACGAUACUCCAAAUAUCACUUGAACUUACUCAAUCCCUACUGACAUGAUACUCACCACUCUUUCAUAAUGCUGCGCAGCCUGCUCGGAAAGGCUACCGAUCCUCCGGUCUCCUCUACCAGCACCUCCAAGUCCCGCCGCCGUCAGAGAGACUCUGAUGACGUUUCCACCAUUUCUUCGUCUUCUCCCCGCCGUCGCAGAGGUG